AUGCUCACUUUGGCAGCACAUAUACUAAAAUUUGAAUAAUAAAGAGACGAUUAGCAUGGCCCCUGUGCAAAGAUGACACACAAACUCGUGGAUCUAAAAAAAAAUUUU